GCCAAACCUACCUUAUACAGGGGGGAUAACCUUUCGGAAAGGGAGACUAAUACCGCAUAACAUUACUUUGAGGCAUCUUGAGGUAAUUAANCUUCGGAGGUAUAAGAUGGGCAUGCGUAGCAUUAGCUAGAUGGUGCGGUAACGGCGUACCAUGGCGACGAUGCUUAGGGGUCUGAGAGGAAGGUCCCCCACACUGGUACUGAGACACGGACCAGACUCCUACGGGAGGCAGCAGUGAGGAAUAUUGGUCAAUGGACGCAAGUCUGAACCAGCCAUGCCGCGUGCAGGAUGACGGCUCUAUGAGUUGUAAACUGCUUUUGUACAAGGGUAAACCCCGAUACGUGUAUCGGGCUGAAAGUACUGUACGAAUAAGGAUCGGCUAACUCCGUG
rnacentral:rRNA from 1 species